UAAAUUGCCAUGUCAUGCUAGAAUGAAUUUUAUUGAUUGGUGGAUUAUAUAUUAAUUAUUUACUGCAGAGGGGGUUCCAUGGACCAGCCUAUUAGAGGGGCACGAUAAACUCCAUUAUAUUAUUACCUCGAACGGAGAGGCGCGUAGGGUAUCUCCUGGGUAAAGCUUAGGGUUCACUUCACGCCAAACCACCACGUGAAGGGGAACUCAGACAACGCCAAGGAACGGCUGUAUUUUUCUCAAACUAAAAAUAUAUUUUAAGUGUAUACAAAAUUUUAACAACCUUGGCGGACUCGGUUGGAUGCCCUGCGCAAGGUAUCACCUAGUAUGAGUUUUGGCACGAGCCAAAGUUUUAAGAAAUUCAUAAGCCAAGUUGAUUUCUCGAUUUAUAUGGAUUGAUUUUAUUUGGUUGAAAUGAGUUGAAAGGUAAUGAAAUUACAGUAUGAUGACUUAUUUUAAUUGUCUCCAUUUACUCGACUUUAGAUAGCUUAGAUGGUAUAUGUUUACUCACUGGGAUUUUAUAAUCUCACCACCCUCAUUUCCUCACAUUUC
rnacentral:lncRNA from 1 species